UUGUGCCUACGGGACGCAGCAGUGGGGAAUAUUGCACAAUGGGGGAAACCCUGAUGCAGCGACGCCGCGUGAAGGAAGAAGUAUUUCGGUAUGUAAACUUCUAUCAGCAGGGAAGAAAAAAGACGGUACCUGACUAAGAAGUCCCGGCUAACUACGUGCCAGCAGCCGCGGUAAUACGUAGGGGGCAAGCGUUAUCCGGAUUUACUGGGUGUAAAGGGAGCGUAGGCGGUGCGCCAAGCUGGGUGUGAAAGGCCGGGGCUCAACCCCGGGACUGCACUCGGAACUGGCGUGCUAGAGUGUUGGAG
rnacentral:rRNA from 1 species